AACGAACGCUGGCGGCAGGCUUAACACAUGCAAGUCGAGCGCAUCCUUCGGGGUGAGCGGCGGACGGGUGAGUAACGCGUGGGAACGUGCCCUCUUCUACGGAAUAGCCUCGGGAAACUGAGAGUAAUGCCGUAUACGCCCGCAAGGGGAAAGAUUUAUCGGAGGAGGAUCGGCCCGCGUUGGAUUAGGUAGUUGGUGGGGUAACGGCCUACCAAGCCGACGAUCCAUAGCUGGUUUGAGAGGAUGAUCAGCCACACUGGGACUGAGACACGGCCCAGACUCCUACGGGAGGCAGCAGUGGGGAAUCUUGGACAAUGGGGGCAACCCUGAUCCAGCCAUGCCGCGUGAUCGAUGAAGGCCUUAGGGUUGUAAAGAUCUUUCAGCUGGGAAGAUAAUGACGGUACCAGCAGAAGAAACCCCGGCUAACUCCGU
rnacentral:rRNA from 1 species